rnacentral:rRNA from 1 species
ACACAUGCAAGUCGAACGAGAAUCUACUGAAGGAGGAUUCGUCCAACGGAAGUAGAGGAAAGUGGCGGACGGGUGAGUAACGCGUGAGGAACCUGCCUUGAAGAGGGGGACAACAGUUGGAAACGACUGCUAAUACCGCAUGAUGCAUAGGGGUCGCAUGAUCUUUAUGCCAAAGAUUUAUCGCUUCAAGAUGGCCUCGCGUCUGAUUAGCUGGUUGGCGGGGUAACGGCCCACCAAGGCGACGAUCAGUAGCCGGACUGAGAGGUUGAACGGCCACAUUGGGACUGAGAUACGGCCCAGACUCCUACGGGAGGCAGCAGUGGGGAAUAUUGGGCAAUGGGCGCAAGCCUGACCCAGCAACGCCGCGUGAAGGAAGAAGGCUUUCGGGUUGUAAACUUCUUUUAAGAGGGAAGAGCAGAAGACGGUACCUCUAGAAUAAGCCACGGCUAACUACGUGCCAGCAGCCGCGGUAAUACGUAGGUGGCAAGCGUUGUCCGGAUUUACUGGGUGUAAAGGGCGUGCAGCCGGGUCUGCAAGUCAGAUGUGAAAUCCAUGGGCUCAACCCAUGAACUGCAUUUGAAACUGUAGAUCUUGAGUGUCGGAGGGGCAAUCGGAAUUCCUAGUGUAGCGGUGAAAUGCGUAGAUAUUAGGAGGAACACCAGUGGCGAAGGCGGAUUGCUGGACGAUAACUGACGGUGAGGCGCGAAAGUGUGGGGAGCAAACAGGAUUAGAUACCCUGGUAGUCCACACUGUAAACGAUGAAUACUAGGUGUGCGGGGACUGACCCCCUGCGUGCCGCAGUAAACACAAUAAGUAUUCCACCUGGGGAGUACGAUCGCAAGGUUGAAACUCAA